rnacentral:rRNA from 1 species
AUUGAACGCUGGCGGCAUGCUUUACACAUGCAAGUCGAACGGCAGCGCGGGCUUCGGCCUGGCGGCGAGUGGCGAACGGGUGAGUAAUGCAUCGGAACGUGCCCAGUAGUGGGGGAUAGCCCGGCGAAAGCCGGAUUAAUACCGCAUACGACCUGAGGGUGAAAGCGGUGGACCGGAAGGCCUCGCGCUAUUGGAGCGGCCGAUGUCGGAUUAGCUAGUUGGUGGGGUAAAGGCUUACCAAGGCGACGAUCCGUAGCUGGUCUGAGAGGACGACCAGCCACACUGGGACUGAGACACGGCCCAGACUCCUACGGGAGGCAGCAGUGGGGAAUUUUGGACAAUGGGGGCAACCCUGAUCCAGCCAUGCCGCGUGCGGGAAGAAGGCCUUCGGGUUGUAAACCGCUUUUGUUCGGGAAGAAAUCCUCUGGGCUAAUACCCCGGGGGGAUGACGGUACCGGAAGAAUAAGCACCGGCUAACUACGUG